rnacentral:rRNA from 1 species
AGUCACUGACAUUAGAUACCCCGGUAGUCCCAGCCGUAAACGAUGUGCGUUAGGUGUAUCGACGACCACGAGUCGUCGAGGUGCCGAAGGGAAACCGUGAAACGUACCGCCCGGGAAGUACGGUCGCAAGGCUGAAACUUAAAGGAAUUGGCGGGGGAGCACCACAACAGGUGGAGCCUGCGGUUUAAUUGGACUCAACGCCGGAAAUCUCACCGGAUAAGACAGCGGAAUGAUUGCCGGGCUGAAGACUCUGCACGACUAGCUG